rnacentral:RNase_P_RNA from 2 species
CCAGCUGGCUGGACGGCCGCUCCUGCAAGAUCGAAAGGUCGCAGGAGAGGAAAGUCCGGGCUCCAUGGAAACACGGUGCCGGAUAACGUCCGGCGGGGGCGACCCCAGGGAAAGUGCCACAGAGAGCAGACCGCCCGGGAAGCCUUACGAGGCAGUCCGGGUAAGGGUGAAAGGGUGGGGUAAGAGCCCACCGCGGGCCCAGCAAUGGGAACGGCAUGGCAAACCCCACCGGGAGCAAGACCGAAUAGGGGCGGCACGGGCGCAAGCCCAGUCUGUUUCCCGACCCGCCGCCCGGGUUGGUUGCGUGAGGCGUCCGGCAACGGGCGUCCAAGAUGAAUGGUCGUCACGCGGUGGUUCGCCACCGCCCUACAGAACCCGGCUUAUAGGCCAGCUGGCGCU